UGAUAUAGAAUCCAAGAUCUCUUAGAAGAGGGACCGGUUUUUUCGGCCACUAAGCUAAGAGCCCUUUGGAAAGUUAAGUAGAACGGUUGCCUUAAAAGGACUCCAAGGCUAAUAAGUUGCAGAGAGCAGAGAAUUUACGAGAUUUAUGAAAUUGUAGCACACGUUUUGUUUCGGAGAUAUUCGAGGUACUAUAUAUAUAUAUCUAUCUAUGUAUAUAUAACCAAUCCAAACUAUAAGUGAUACAACAAUAUACAUACUGCUCAUCAAGCAACCAGGAAAGUUGUUCUGUUCUUCUCUCUCUCUCUCUCUCUCUCAGAGGAGAGGAGACUACAAAACAGUGAACAAGCCUGCCUUACACUAAAUUUCUACCCUCUAAAAGCAUAUCAAAACACUCUCACACAACAGAGAAUCGAUAUAAACGC